GACGAACGCUGGCGGCGUGCUUAACACAUGCAAGUCGAACGCUGAAGCCCUUCGGGGUGGAUGAGUGGCGAACGGGUGAGUAACACGUGGGUAAUCUGCCCUGCACUCUGGGAUAAGCCUUGGAAACGGGGUCUAAUACCGGAUAGGACACAUCGCCGCAUGGUGUGUGGGUGGAAAGUUCCGGCGGUGCAGGUUGAGCCCGCGGCCUAUCAGCUUGUUGGUGGGGUGAUGGCCUACCAAGGCGACGACGGGUAGCCGGCCUGAGAGGGUGACCGGCCACACUGGGACUGAGACACGGCCCAGACUCCUACGGGAGGCAGCAGUGGGGAAUCUUGCGCAAUGGGCGAAAGCCUGACGCAGCAACGCCGCGUGGGGGAUGACGGCCUUCGGGUUGUAAACCUCUUUCGACCGGGACGAAGGAUUCGUUUGACGGUACCGGUAGAAGAAGCACCGGCUAACUACGUGCCAGCCGCCGCCGUAAGAC
rnacentral:rRNA from 1 species